GUCUUGUCCUGACUGCAUGCCACUGACAGGCCCAGCGCCAGGCCUCAGGCCAGCCAGUGAUUCUUAGGCAGGGACAUUGCAGCCCACCUACCUCUCCUGCAGACUCCAGCCCCGGCCCCCACUUCCUAUCGAGUCCUGUCCCCAUCUGCAGGCCACAGGACUCAGCAACAGGCCUCUGGCCAGCCAGUGAUUCUGAGGAAGAGACUUCACUGCCCACCUUCCUCUCCUGCAGACCACAGCCCUAUCGCCCACCUGCUAGGUAGGCCACAGACAAACCCAGCACCAGGCCUCUGGUCAGGCAGUGAUUCUGAGGCUAGGACCUCAAGGCCUACCUACCUCUCCUGCAGACCCCAGUCCCAGUGCCCACCCACUAGGCCACAGACAGACCCAGCACCAGGUCUCUGGCCAGCCAGUGAUUCUGAAGAAGGGACCUCACUGCCAACCUACCACUCAAGCAGACACCAGCCCCAGCGCGACAUGCUAGCCUGUCCUGUCCCCAGCUGCAGGCCACAGACAGACACAGCUCCAUGCCUCUGGCCAGCCAGUGAUUCUGAGGCAAUGACCUCACUGCCCACCUUCUUCUCCUUCAGAAACCAGCCCCAGCGCCCACCUGUUACGUAGCCUGUACUGUCACCACCUGCAAGCAACAGACAGUCCCUGAGAUGGAUCUCUGGCCAGCCAGUGAUUCUGCAGCUGGGACUUCACUGCCCACAUUCCUCUCCUUCAGAUGCCAUCCCCAGAGCCCACCCGCUAGCCUGUCCUGUCCCCAGCUGCAGGCCACAGACAGACC